UACAGAGGUCUCAAGCGUUGUUCGGAUUCAUUGGGCGUAAAGGGUGUGUAGGUGGCGCGCUAAGUCGGGUGUGAAAUCUCGGGGCUUAACUCCGAAACUGCAUUCGAUACUGGCGUGCUUGAGGACUGGAGAGGAGACUGGAAUUUACGGUGUAGCGGUGAAAUGCGUAGAUAUCGUAAGGAAGACCAGUGGCGAAGGCGGGUCUCUGGACAGUUCCUGACGCUGAGGCACGAAGGCCAGGGGAGCAAACGGG
rnacentral:rRNA from 1 species